UUUUUUUUAUGUGUGUUUUCAUAUUGAGGUUGUUUUCUUUGUUUUCUCAUUCGAUGGUUUAGGUGUGUUUUGUUUGUUUAGACUGCUAUCAUGUUGUUUUAUCCCCUUUUUUCUCUACUUGUGCUGCGCAUUUGUUGUGGGUUUUGGUGGCUAUCUGUACCAUGCUAUAUGUAGUUAGAAGCUUAUGUCAUGUUAGUGGUUUUUAUAUUGUGUUUAUUUUG
rnacentral:lncRNA from 1 species